rnacentral:lncRNA from 1 species
AGGAAGUGCGUCUCCUAUUGGUAAAGGCUAGGCUUAGGAAAUGCGUCUCCUAUUGGUAAAGGCUAGGCUUAGGAAGUGCGUCUCCUAUUGGAACAGACGUGGAAUGUAUUCCCUUGUUAUACAGGUGGGCGCCUAAUGGUAAAGACAUAAAAUGUAUUCCCUUGUUAUACAGGUGGGUGCCUGAAAUAUGAAAUGCACAGACAAAAAGUAUUCCUCUCGUUAUUCAGGUGGGCGUCUGUCUAUACUAAGACAUAAAAGUAUUCCUCUCGUUAUUCAGGUGGGCGCCUGUCUAUACUAAGACAUAAAAGUAUUCCUCUCGUUAUUCAGGUGGGCGCCUGUCUUCGAGAAAAUUUUCACAAUGAGAAAAUUUUCUGCCCCGGUUUGAUGAUUUUCUUUAUGGCCUGUCUUUCCGCCAUCAAUAACGUUCAUUUUCCCUGUUUCUAAAUCAAAGAAAAAUUUGUUAGUUUAAAAACAUGGUAAGCGGUCAUGCCACUCUUGUUGGGGAUGGUUUCCUCUUUC